GAGAGAGAGUGGCGUGUAGAGAGAGAGGGAGAGGAAGAAAGAAAGAAAGAAAGAAGAAGAAGGUGAAGAGGAACCCAUCUUAGAGCUUGAACAAGGGUGUGAAGUUUGGGUGUUGAUCUUAUUGUGUUCUUGAUUUUACAAUCAAGAGAGGCUCGUUGAAAGAUUGUGAAAUUCUUAGCUUGGACCUGAGGUAAGGAAGUUAGAUAGAUUCUAUGAUUUUAUGCUAUGAAUGGUAAGACUGUUGUAUGAAUGAAUUGUUAUGAAUUAUGAAUGCC